UUUUAUUUGAGAGUUUGAUCCUGGCUCAGGAUGAACGCUGGCGGCGUGCCUAACACAUGCAAGUUGAGCGAUUUACUUCGGUAAAGAGCGGCGGACGGGUGAGUAACGCGUGGGUAACCUACCCUGUACACACGGAUAACAUACCGAAAGGUAUGCUAAUACGGGAUAAUAUAUU
rnacentral:rRNA from 1 species